rnacentral:rRNA from 1 species
UACGUAGGGUGCGAGCGUUAAUCGGAAUACUGGGCGUAAAGCGUGCGCAGGCGGUGAUGUAAGACAGGUGUGAAAUCCCCGGGCUUAACCUGGGAACUGCAUUUGUGACUGCAUCGCUGGAGUGCGGCAGAGGGGGAUGGAAUUCCGCGUGUAGCAGUGAAAUGCGUAGAUAUGCGGAGGAACACCGAUGCGAAGGCAUCCCCUGGGCCUGCACUGACGCUCAUGCACGAAAGCGUGGGGAGCAAACAGGAAU